rnacentral:tRNA from 1 species
UGCGGAGACAGGAUUUGAACCCGUGACCUCAAGGUUAUGAGCCUUGCGAGCUACCAAACUGCUCUACCCCGC